GACAGGGGGUGCAAACGUUGUUCGGAAUUACUGGGCGUAAAGCGCGUGUAGGCUGCUCAGAAAGUCGGAUGUGAAAGCCCUGGGCUUAACCUAGGAAGUGCAUUCGAAACUUCUGAGCUUGAGUUCUGGAGAGGAAGGCGGAAUUCUCGGUGUAGAGGUGAAAUUCGUAGAUAUCGAGAGGAACACCGGUGGCGAAGGCGGCCUUCUGGACAGUGACUGACGCUGAGACGCGAAAGCGUGGGGAGCAAACAGG
rnacentral:rRNA from 1 species